rnacentral:tRNA from 2 species
GGAUGGGUGGCCGAGCGGUCGAAGGCACCGGUCUUGAAAACCGGCAGGGGCGCGAGUCCCUCGUGGGUUCGAAUCCCACCCCAUCCGCCA